rnacentral:lncRNA from 1 species
CUUUAUGUUUGUUUGAGUCUCGCUUCCUGUGUAGCAUUUAAAGUAUUUUCAGUGCAAUAAUGCGGGUAGGGAGAGGGAUGUGUAGUUGAUGAAGUUUUGUGCAAUUAUACUGAAGCAUUUUUGGGAUACCUGUCAUCAUCCCCUGCUCCACCCGGGUAGAGUCAUUAAGGAAGAUGAAUGACAUCCAAAUGUCUUCAACUGUUUUUCCAUUCAGGGAAUAUCCCGGUGAUUUGCUCUGUGGAACAGUUGACAUUAAAGAUAACCGUUAGCAAAGUUCAUUAAAGAGAGCAGGUGUAUGUUCAUCCUGCUUGAUGGGGUGUGUCAGGAUUUUGUAUGUAGAUCUUUGGAGGACCAUUUUGAUUGAUAUUGCAGUAAAGCAGGAAGUAAGAAGGAUGCUUGUUAGUGAAGUCGAGAGGUGAGUGAAGAAUGCGAUGCCAUUGAUUUGGCAGAGAUAUAAGACAGGAAAGACAAAAGUAGAAAGGAAUUAUUGUCAAGUGGUAAUAAUUAAAUAAGAUAAUGGCUACAAAGAUAGGAUUAUGCAGAAUGUCUUUGUAGAAGAAAGAGGUUUAGGAAGGUUACUUUCGUUUGUUUUGGUACCACUGUAGCAAGUAUGAAAAUGUUGUCCAAACCCAUAGCGGUCAUUUGUGGAACAUUGAUGGAAGAAAAGUUUCACAAUAAUAGAAUAUAGAUUAUUAAGAUAAUUAACCAAAUUAUACUAUAAUGAGAAAUAUUUAUUUCAGAACCUCUAAAAGUAGAUGACAAGGAAGACCAGCAAGUGGCACAUAGCGCAAUCGCAACUCCAAAAGUAGAAGACAAGGAAGACCAGCAAGUGGCACAUAGCGCAAGAAGGUAAUGCUGACGGAGAUGCAUCUUCACAGAGUGGCUAAGAAAUUAGGAGGUAAAUGGAUGGAACUGGGAAGGCAAUUAGGAGUUAGACAAGUUGAACUAGAGAUGAUCAGGUAUGACUAUCCCUACAACACAGAAGAACAGAGCUUUCAGAUGCUCCUCAGAUGGUAUAGGUGUUGUGAUCCAAUGAAACGUACAUUGGAAACACUCAGAGAAGCACUUGAGAGAUGUGAGUGCUAUGAAGCCCUCAUGUGUCUAAUUGAAAUAGAGUGAAUUUCUGCAUAAAUGUUGUUGCUUAGUCCCAGGUCAGAAAUUUAUGAUCAAAUGCAUUCCGGCCAUGACCACCCUAACUUUAUUCUUAAUGUACAGGAGCCACACACACAUUGUCCAGCGUAUUCUUCUUUAAGGGGAUAAGUAUGAAUUGUGGUCGAUUUGGCUACUACUUCUAGCAGAUCUAUCUAUCACAAAGAAAUCCCUUUGCUGGUUUGUCUCCCCUGUUGUUAGAGAUUAACUUUUGAAAUAAAGAUAAACUUUCAACUGUU